rnacentral:rRNA from 1 species
GAUCAUGGCUCAGAUUGAACGCUGGCGGCAGGCUUAACACAUGCAAGUCGAGCGGGGAAGGGUAGCUUGCUACCUUACCUAGCGGCGGACGGGUGAGUAAUGCUUAGGAAUCUGCCUAUUAGUGGGGGGACAACAUCUCGAAAGGGAUGCUAAUACCGCAUACGUCCUACGGGAGAAAGCAGGGGACCUUCGGGCCUUGCGCUAAUAGAUGAGCCUAAGUCGGAUUAGCUAGUUGGUGGGGUAAAGGCCUACCAAGGCGACGAUCUGUAGCGGGUCUGAGAGGAUGAUCCGCCACACUGGGACUGAGACACGGCCCAGACUCCUACGGGAGGCAGCAGUGGGGAAUAUUGGACAAUGGGGGGAACCCUGGUCCAGCCAUGCCGCGUGUGUGAAGAAAGGCCUUUUGGUUGUAAAGCACUUUAAGCGAGGAGGAGGCUACCGAGAUUAAUACUCUUGGAUAGUGGACGUUACUCGCAGAAUAAGCACCGGCUAACUCUGUGCCAGCAGCGGC